rnacentral:rRNA from 1 species
AUGUCUUACAUUCGUAAUGACCUCCUUGCCUCCAUGGAUUUGGGCUCGAGCUCCGCUGCCGUUCAUGGCCGAAGUCCCCUGAGGCGGCAAGGCCCUGGUGGUAGUGGACCGGUGCUGCAACGGUACUACAACCCUGAUGUGGUCUUCCAAGAUGCAGCACGGCAUGGCCGGGAUGAAAUUGAUCUGAAUGUUGCUGUGGAGCCAUCAAUUUUCUUUGAUGAUGAUAUGCAAAAUGUUGCGCACGAAGAAGAAGAUGAUGGAAUUGAUCUGAAUGGUACUCCGGGAAAUGAUAGUGACGAUUCGUUGCAUCUGAACACGGAUGGUGUAGCUCCAAAUCAUGGCAAUGCCCGUGUGGCUAGUGACAAUGCCAAUGGAAAUGCUGCAACACUUGUUGACGAACCAGAUGAAGAAAUAUCAUCA